AAAUUGAAGAGUUUGAUCAUGGCUCAGAUUGAACGCUGGCGGCAGGCCUAACACAUGCAAGUCGAACGGUAGCACAGAGAGCUUGCUCUCGGGUGACGAGUGGCGGACGGGUGAGUAAUGUCUGGGAAACUGCCUGAUGGAGGGGGAUAACUACUGGAAACGGUGGCUAAUACCGCAUAACGUCGCAAGACCAAAGAGGGGGACCUUCGGGCCUCUUGCCAUCAGAUGUGCCCAGAUGGGAUUAGCUUGUUGGUGAGGUAACGGCUCACCAAGGCGACGAUCCCUAGCUGGUCUGAGAGGAUGACCAGCCACACUGGAACUGAGACACGGUCCAGACUCCUACGGGAGGCAGCAGUGGGGAAUAUUGCACAAUGGGCGCAAGCCUGAUGCAGCCAUGCCGCGUGUAUGAAGAAGGCCUUCGGGUUGUAAAGUACUUUCAGCGGGGAGGAAGGUGUUGUGGUUAAUAACCGCAGCAAUUGACGUUACCCGCAGAAGAAGCACCGGCUAACU
rnacentral:rRNA from 1 species